rnacentral:rRNA from 1 species
CCUACGGGGGGCUGCAGUGGGGAAUAUUGCACAAUGGGGGAAACCCUGAUGCAGCAACGCCGCGGGAGCGUUGAAGGCCUUCGGUUCGAAAAGCUCUGUCCUAAGGGAAGAAUACUGACGGUACCUUAGGAGGAAGCCCCGGCUAACUACGUGCAAGCAGCCGCGGUAAUACGUAGGGGGCUAGCGUUAUACGGAAUUACUGGGCCUAAAGGGUGCGUAGUCAGCACUUCAAGUCAGAGGUGAAAGGCUACGGCUCAACCGUAGUAAGCCUUUGAAAAUGUAGGGAUUGAGUGCAGGAGAGAAGAGUGGAAUUAAAGGUGUGGAGGUGAAAUGCGCAGAUAUAGGGAGGAACACCAGUUGAGAAGGCGGCUAUCUGGACUGUAACUGACGCUGAGGCACGAAAGCGUGGGGAGCGAACAGGAUUAGAUACCCGAGUAGUC